CCUACGGGAGGCAGCAGUGGGGAAUAUUGCACAAUGGACGAAACUCUGAUGCAGCGACGCCGCGUGAGGGAAGACGGUCUUCGGAUUGUAAACCCCUGUCAUGUGGGAGCAAAUUAAAAAGAUAGUACCACAAGAGGAAGAGACGGCUAACUCUGUGCCAGCAGCCGCGGUAAUACAGAGGUCUCAAGCGUUGUUCGGAAUCACUGGGCGUAAAGCGUGCGUAGGCUGUUUCGUAAGUCGUGUGUGAAAGGCGCGGGCUCAACCCGCGGACGGCACAUGAUACUGCGAGACUAGAGUAAUGGAGGGGGAACCGGAAUUCUCGGUGUAGCAGUGAAAUGCGUAGAUAUCGAGAGGAACACUCGUGGCGAAGGCGGGUUCCUGGACAUUAACUGACGCUGAGGCACGAAGGCCAGGGGAGCGAAAGGGAUUAGAUACCCUUGUAGUC
rnacentral:rRNA from 1 species